AUUUUGUUCAAUAAAAUUUUGUUGAAACCUUAUCUGUUCUUAUCAGUUUAAUAUCUGAUACGUCCCCUAUCUGGGGACCAUAUAUUAAAUGGAUUUUUGAGAAUAGGGGCCGAUUUCUGUGGUAUUUCAAAGAUAAAAACAAAUGUUUCCGGCCAUCCGUUGCACUAAUGGAUAGGUCAUCGGCU